rnacentral:rRNA from 1 species
AUGUUUAAAUAUCCUAUGAAGGUGAAACCGCGAACGGCUCAUUAUAACAGCUUUAAUUUACUUGGUCUUGAUAUACUACAUGGAUAACUGUGGUAAUUCUAGAGCUAAUACAUGCACCAACGCUCCGAUUUACUGACGAGCGCAUCUAUUAGAACAAAACCAAUCGAGCUGCGGCUCGUAAGUUGGUGACUCUGAAUAACUUAUGCUGAUCGCAUGGUCUUGAACCGGCGACAUAUCUAUCAAGUGUCUGCCUUAUCAACUGUCGAUGGUAGUUUAUAUGACUACCAUGGUUGUAACGGGUAACGGAGAAUAAGGGUUCGACUCCGGAGAGGGAGCCUGAGAAACGGCUACCACAUCCAAGGAAGGCAGCAGGCGCGCAAAUUACCCACUCUCAGAACGAGGAGGUAGUGACGAAAAAUAACGGGGCCGUUCUCUUUGAGGCCGGUUACCGGAAUGGGUACAAUCUAAACCCUUUAACGAGGAUCUAUGAGAGGGCAAGUCUGGUGCCAGCAGCCGCGGUAAUUCCAGCUCUCAAAGUGUAUAUCGUUAUUGCUGCGGUUAAAAAGCUCGUAGUUGGAUCUGAGCCGAGGACUUGGUCCGGCCACUGGUCGUGAACUGGGCUCCUCGGCUAGUACGGCUGGUUUUCCAUCCGUUGCCUUUAUCGGCUGCGUAUGGUGGCUGGCGAUUUUACUUUGAAAAAAUUAGAGUGCUUCAAACAGGCUGGUGCCUGCAUACUCUUGCAUGGAAUAAUAGAAUAGGAUCUUGGUUCUAUUUUGUUGGUUUUCUGAACUGAGAUAAUGGUUAAGAGGGACGGACGGGGGCAUUCGUAUCGCUGCGUGAGAGGUGAAAUUCUUGGACCGUAGCGAGA